GACGAACGCUGGCGGCGUGCUUAACACAUGCAAGUCGAACGGAAAGGCCCUGCUUUUGUGGGGUUCUCGAUUGGCGAACGGGUGAGUAACACGUGAGUAACCUGCCCUUGACUUUGGGAUAACUUCAGGAAACUGGGGCUAAUACCGGAUAGGAGCUCCUGCUGCAUGGUGGGGGUUGGAAAGUUUCGGCGGUUGGGGAUGGACUCGCGGCUUAUCAGCUUGUUGGUGGGGUAGUGGCUUACCAAGGCUUUGACGGGUAGCCGGCCUGAGAGGGUGACCGGCCACAUUGGGACUGAGAUACGGCCCAGACUCCUACGGGAGGCAGCAGUGGGGAAUAUUGCACAAUGGGCGGAAGCCUGAUGCAGCAACGCCGCGUGCGGGAUGACGGCCUUCGGGUUGUAAACCGCUUUCGCCUGUGACGAAGCGUGAGUGACGGUAAUGGGUAAAGAAGCACCGGCUAACUACGUG
rnacentral:rRNA from 1 species